CCGCGAGCCGCCUCACUCAGCGCGGGCGGCCGCGAGCCGCCUCACUCAGCGCAGGCGGCCGCGAGCCGCCUCACUCAGCGCAGGCGGCCGCGAGCCGCCUCACUCAGCGCAGGCGGCCGCGAGCCGCCUCACUCAGCGCAGGCGGCCGCGAGCCGCCUCACUCAGCGUGACCGAGAGGAGCUACCCCACAUCUGAGGUCAGGGUCAGCGGCCUAGAGUGCCAGGCUGCGAUGGAACAGGAACGGCCGAGAGGAACUACCCUGCGUCCGAGGUCAGGGGUGGGACCGAGAGGAGCUACGCCGCGUCCGAGGGGCGGCCAGGAGAAGCCACCUCUCGCGGAGGCCAGGAGCGGCAGCUGGGAGGAGCCACCCAUGCCCAAGGCCAGGCCCGGCGGCCGGGAGGAGCAACCCGAGGAGUGGUGGCUGUGCAGCACAGGAGAGCCUAGAGGAGCUAUCCCACGUUGAAGGUCAGGAACGGUGGCGGUAAGGAGAUACCCCUCGUCUGAGUGAGCUGAGAGGUAACUCCUCUAAGUCAGAGAAAGCAGACAAAAGGUUACAAAAACAUCCAUUUCCCCUGGGUUGACAAGCAUGAAAAGCUCUGAUGAGAGUUAAGGCUGCUUUAUGAAUUUGAAUUGUCUUCACAAUUGCACUUACUUUUCAUCAAUUUGAGGAAAAGAGAGGACCAGAAAAACCUGCAAAUGGUAACAGUAGACAUGGCACUAAAUUACAACUAAAGC
ensembl:lncRNA